AACCCCGAGUGCCAGCAUCAAAUGUUGGCUGUCCAGAUGAUUAAAAAUCAUUUGUUAGCAAGGGCCGGGCAAGACCGGUGCCAGCCGCCGCGGUAACACCGGCGGCCCGAGUGGUAGCCGUUUUUAUUGGGUCUAAAGAGUCCGUAGCCGGCCUGAUAAGUCCUUUGGGAAAUCUGGCAGCUUAACUGUCAGGCUUCUAAGGGAUACUGUCAGGCUUGGGACCGGAAGAGGUAAGGGGUACUCCAGGGGUAGGAGUGAAAUCUUGUAAUCCCUGGGGGACCAUCUGUGGCGAAGGCGCCUUACCAGAACGGGUCCGACGGUGAGGGACGAAAGCUAGGGGAGCAAACCGGAUUAGAUACCCGGGUAGUCCUAGCUGUAAACGAUGCUCGCUAGGUGUCAGACACGGUGCGACCGUGUUUGGUGCCGCAGGGAAGCCGUUAAGCGAGCCACCUGGAAGUACGUCGCAAGGCU
rnacentral:rRNA from 1 species